rnacentral:rRNA from 1 species
UGAAUGGCAUCACGAGGGCUUAACUGUCUCCCCUCCCCAGUCAAUGAAAUUGAUCUCCCCGUGCAGAAGCGGGGAUAAUACCAUAAGACGAGAAGACCCUAUGGAGCUUUAGACGUCAGAGCAGCCCAUGUAAAGCACCCCUUAACAAAGGAAAAAACCAAAUGAAGCCUGCCCUAAUGUCUUUGGUUGGGGCGACCGCGGGGAAAUACAAAACCCCCAUGUGGAGUAGGAAUACACAUUCCUAAACCCAAGAGCUCCCGCUCUAAUGAACAGAAAUUCUGACCAAUAAGAUCCGGCACACGCCGAUCAACGGACCGAGUUACCCUAGGGAUAACAGCGCAAUCCCCUUAAAGAGCCCUUAUCGACAAGGGGGUUUACGACCUCGAUGUUGGAUCAGGACAUCCUAAUGGUGCAGCCGCUAUUAAGGGUUCGUUUGUUCAACGAUUAAAGUCCUACGUGAUCUGAGUUCAGACCGGA